rnacentral:ncRNA from 1 species
UGUCUUCAGGGCAGGGUGAGCGCUCCGGCGCAAUUCCCGAUCGGCGGUAAAGUCCGCAAGCCGCAUCGCGGCAGGAUUCGGUGCAAUUCCGAGACCGACAGUAUAGUCUGGAUGGAAGAAGAU